GGUGACCGAGAGGAGGAACAAGACUUCAUUUCCUUUUCUUUCCAACCCAAGACUGAGAGCAAAACUGAGAGUGAGGGAGAGAAAUUUGGCUAGUCUUAUCACCUGCUAACCAUAAUCAAAGAAAAAAAUAUUACAAGGAGAAGGGGAGUGAGAAGCUGGUGCAAUUUUGAGGAACUGAAACUCAACUUGGAGCCGUUUGCACUUGUUGAAUUCUAAUGGAAAGGAGGUAAAAAAAUUCUAUAAUAAGCCUUUACUUAUUAAGUAUAAGUGAAUAUAUAAGUUGCAUGUUAAGUUUAGCAAGGAGAAUGAAUUCUUGACCAAGGGAAAAUUCUGAUUUGGGAUUGAAAAGCUAUUGGAUUGAAACUGGUAGGAACCGAAAGUUCAUUGGUUAGAGUUGCAGCUUGUUAUCUGAAUUUUCUAUGGAUAAUUAUGCUAGGAACGCAUGAAAUAUGUUUAUCUCUGAUCUUAUAGAAUAUUUAUUUGCAAAACUAGUAAAAAAACAUUGGUAAUCUUGGCUGGAAAUGUCAAAGAAAUCUAAUGGAACCUAUUGGGAUGGCCGAGAGAGAGAAAGAGAGAAUUUUCUAGUUUUCCACUUCAAAUCUUGGCUGCAAAUUUCACAUUGUGGUUCAAUAUACUAAAUAACACAAUAAUCAUCAUAUGCAUGUUGAGUUGGAGUGAAAAUAAAGAAUUUUGUUGGGGGACAAUGUUCGGUUCUUCAAACUGCCAACUGCUGGAGUUUUUCCAGCUUGGACCAAGAGAGAGAAAUGGCCAAAUAUUCCAGUUUUCUCCAGGAUUUUGGGGCUGUAAAUUGUAUAUUGUUGUUGUUUACACCUUAUAACACAUCAAUACUGAUAUACAUAUAGCAUUUGACUUGAAUUCGAGUAAGAUAAGUGUUAGUAUUGAGGAAAGACUUGCUGGAAUUUUACAUUCUUGAACCGUAAGGUAUGAGCUGAAUUUACCAGCUUGUAGCCUCCGUUUUGUUGAAGAUUUUCAAGGAGAUUCAUUCCUUAUAGUUACUUCAAAAUAUAUUACAUGAUUUAUGCCCGAAUCAUGAAAUGAAGUUGAGUUUUUGGGUUAGAAAUCUAUUUCCACGUAACCUGUUUUGGAGAAACUUCCUGCCUUGAACUAUGGCUAAACAACAGCCCAUAAUUCGAAAAAUUGUUGCUAUUUUUGCUAUACAUUCAUGUGUUUUGUCUUGAUAAAAGUUAAUGUCAAGACUAGGUGUGCUAAAUCUAAAAGUUAUAGGAGAAAUGGAGUGAUAGAGCUGGACUGGAAUCUCUAGACAGCAAACCAGGAGGAAAGAAGAAUGCUGCAACUUUAGUUGUUUUCUUGGAAAUUUUGCUAGAUCAUAAUUGAAAUCCAUGCCUUAUGCCUUGUCCGAUGUUUCUAGAGUGAUGCAUGUAAGAUUUGAGGUUGGAUUGAAGUAAAACCAGGUAGUGGAACUUGUUUUCUUGCCAGAAAUUUUCCAGCUUGGACCGAUGUAGUGUAAAGGCAGUUUCCUUUCAAUUUUCUUGCUUGAUCAAGAGUAAAUAUACUUGAACUCAUGAAAUAUGUUAGUAUAUUCAUUAUUCGGAGUUGCAUGUGAAAUUCAUGGUGAAAAAUCUAAUUUUUAAUAGCUAGAAUUUUGAGCAGGAAAUUGCAUGAUUGUUAUAACAUUUUCCAGCUUAACCAAUGGAAUUUCAUGGAGUUGAUUGGAUAUUUUGGUAUAAAGUUUGCUGGAAAAUGCUGGUUUUAUACUUAUUUGUGUGUUAUGAGCCUGUAGGUGUGUGACUUGUGGCUAGAAAUGAAAUUUAAAAUGGUUAAAAGUUGAAGGGAAAGGAAAACUAUGAUAACCGAGAGAGUGAGGAGCUGGAGGUCUCAUGAGAUUUUCAAAAAUCUAAGGAUAAUUAGUUGUAAUCUUGUAUAAAACAUCUUAUAACAUCUUGACCCUGUCAUUCACGUUCAUUUUAGUGAACUUGAGACCUGAAAAGUUGAUGAAUUUUGAGAGAAGUUAAACAACAAAGUUGAAUAGAAGUUGAUUUAGCCGAGAGAGAAGAAAUGAAAAGCUUAACCAACUUUACUCUUUAAGUUGGAUUGAAAAUGAUUUAAUCUUAGUUUAAACAUCUCACAAGACUUUAAAUUUGGUGUGUGAGUAUAUCUUCAUCGUUUUAAGCCAAUAAACUUGAUAAAUUUUAAAGAGAAAUGUGAGAGACAUUUCAGAAAUUUUGUAUCUUGUUUAAUAAGUUAAGAAACCUGGUUUCUAGUAAUCUAUACUCCAAAUUUGGUGAGUGAUUGGUGGCUGGAAAUAAAAUCUAAAUAGUUAAAAUGGAAGGGAAAAGUUGCUAUACCAACUAUAGGAAUCAAAGGAGCCUUGUAACUUAUAUAAGAAGAUAUCCAACUAUUACUUGGUUUAACAAGCUCUAUAUAAAUCGUAUACACAUCUUAAGGUAAUAAACUAGUUAUGCAUGUGGUCUUGGUUAAUAAAAGAUGGAAGUAUGGGACAAGAAAGUACCUUAAGGUUAGCUACUUCUAAACUUACCUUGUUAAAAGUUAAUGUUGAGUUUUAGUACGAUAAAUCUAACAGUAUAAAAGUAGUGAAGUGACAUUAAUGGAAUUGCUACUUAAACUUCCUUUCUUUUGGACAUUAAAAGUCGAAGUGACAAGUGAGUAUGAGAAAAUGCACUAGUCGCCUCAUUUGAACAUAGCCAUGACUUAGAAUUCGGGUGGAAUUGUGACUUGAGGCUAGAAUAUAACACGUACAUUGAUUAUAGUUUAGAACUUCACCAAAUGAGUAGUUAAAUAAUUAUGGUAAUUAUAACUUGUCUCAGGAGACAGCGGUGUGCACGAAAGCAAUCCCGAGUUCGAAGUGUAACUUUUGAUAGGGGUGAGUGUUUCCGAAUUUAUGUGUUUAACUGUUUAUGUUUACUUAAGUGAAAUUAUGUGAUAAAUGUGCUUAUUAUGAAACAUUGCUAAGUGAUUCAUUGUAAAAUGUAUCUCAAUUGUCCCUCGCCUUCUAAGUCGAGGAUGUACUUUAUCAUACUCGGCUUAGUUGAGUUUGAAGGUUGAUAAUUGACCAAAUGUUACUGUAAGUGUGCAUGAAUGUAAGCCGUAUGUGUACUUUACGUCAACGGCUGAACUGGGCCCCAAAAUCCUCUCUGUUCAACGGACUAUUCGAGCUAGCAAAGGGCUUGGUCGGAUAGGACAGAAGCUUUGGGUAACCAUUUCGGUAUACUCAAGUAUUACCCUAUAGUUGGGAGAUUAUUGAACUGAUUACUGCAUGUAGGGGAUUGUUUUUUGUUUUGGAGGACAUAAGGAGGUGAAUUGGCGGAGUGUGCAAUGAUAUUGAAAUGAAUGUACAAUGACACUAAAAUGAGUGUGCAAUGAUAUUGGAAUGACACUGAAUUACUAAACGGAACUAAGUGCUACGUCUGGAAUAAACGGGAGCCACCUCUAGAGUCCGUAUCAGUACCGUAUCCUUUAAAGUGAUUGAUUACUUUUAUUAAAUUUGAUAUCUUGUAUUGUUAAGUUUGGUGAAUGUUUUAUUAUGCUAAUUGGUUGUUGUAUCCUUUUGAAAGUGACUAUAUAGUUAAAUGUGCAUUACUUGGUUAAUUGUACUGAUUUAAGUGUUUAUUAAAUGUUACUUGCUCGGCAAACCUUACUGAGCUUUAGCUCAGCACUUUAGUUUUGUUUUCCUUACAGGAGUUGGUGGUCGGAGAACGAACGAGGGAUCUUAGGAAGUUAACGUGAAGACUUUUGUGAUUGUAGAUCCUUUAGUUUCAUAUUAUGGUUGAAACUUUUGUAUUAAAUUUGGUAUUGUAGAAGAUUUGAGCGUUUGGUUUUGGUUUAUCAAAAUAUUAUCUCUGAAAUUAAUGUAAGUGAGUGAGCACUGGUGAGAGUCAGGCAGGUGAUCCGCUAACUUUUAGGGUAUGCCCUAGGAGAAGGUGGGGUCAUCACAAGGCUGGUCGCAGGGAGGUAAGAGCCAAAGAAUGAAACUACAGGAAAUCUUAGGGUGGAUGAGUCAGAGGUAAUGCGAACUAUAGCAAAAUUAGCAAAGAUAAAUGGUUUGAGAGCAAGCUGCCUUCACUAAUAUAAUGGGACAAGGAUAGCUGGAGAUUCCUUAGUAAUGGAAUGGCUGUGAAGGUAGAAUAAUAGCUGGUGAUGCAACCACCUCGUUCUGUAUUUGGGCUUAUGUGAGUGCUGGACCAACAGGGAUGGAUCAAGGACCGGACACUUGGCAACGAUGGGUCUGAAGGGAAUAUCUAUAAAUAAAAUAAGUUUACUCCCUUGAUAGCAUGAGAUCAUCUUCAUCAUCAACCUCAUUUUUGAGCUC
rnacentral:lncRNA from 1 species